rnacentral:tRNA from 17 species
GCGUAAUUGGUUUAGUGGUAAAAUUCUCCGUUGCCAUCGGGGAGCCCAGGGUUCGAUUCCCUGAUUACGCA